UGCGUAGGCGGUUUGUUAAGUCAGAUGUGAAAGCCCCGGGCUCAACCUGGGAACUGCAUUUGAUACUGGCAGGCUAGAGUGCGGUAGAGGGUGGUGGAAUUCCCGGUGUAGCGGUGAAAUGCGUAGAGAUCGGGAGGAUCAUCCGUGGCGAAGGCGGCCACCUGGACCAGCACUGACGCUCAUAUGCGAAAGCGUGGGGCUCAAACAGGAUUAGAUACCCCUGUA
rnacentral:rRNA from 1 species